AGAGUUUGAUCCUGGCUCAGGAUGAACGCUGGCGGCGUGCUUAACACAUGCAAGUCGAACGAACCUUCGGGUUAGUGGCGGACGGGUGAGUAACGCGUGGGAAUCUGCCCUCAGGAGGGGGAUAACGGUUGGAAACGACCGCUAAUACCCCAUAUGCCGAGAGGUGAAAUGAAUUUCGCCUGAGGAUGAGCCCGCGUCUGAUUAGCUAGUUGGUGAGGUAAGAGCUCACCAAGGCAUCGAUCAGUAGCUGGUCUGAGAGGAUGAUCAGCCACACUGGGACUGAGACACGGCCCAGACUCCUACGGGAGGCAGCAGUGGGGAAUUUUCCGCAAUGGGCGAAAGCCUGACGGAGCAACGCCGCGUGAGGGAUGAAGGCCUCUGGGCUGUAAACCUCUUUUAUCAAGGAAGAAGAUCUGACGGUACUUGAUGAAUAAGCCACGGCUAAUUCCGUGCCAGCAGCCGCGGUAAUACGGGAGUGGCAAGCGUUAUCCGGAAUUAUUGGGCGUAAAGCGUCCGCAGGCGGCCCUUCAAGUCUGCUGUUAAAAAGUGGAGCUUAACUCCAUCAUGGCAGUGGAAACUGUUGGGCUUGAGUGUGGUAGGGGCAGAGGGAAUUCCCGGUGUAGCGGUGAAAUGCGUAGAUAUCGGGAAGAACACCAGUGGCGAAGGCGCUCUGCUGGGCCAUCACUGACGCUCAUGGACGAAAGCCAGGGGAGCGAAAGGGAUUAGAUACCCCUGUAGUCCUGGCCGUAAACGAUGAACACUAGGUGUCGGGGGAAUCGACCCCUCCGGUGUCGUAGCCAACGCGUUAAGUGUUCCGCCUGGGGAGUACGCACGCAAGUGUGAAACUCAAAGGAAUUGACGGGGGCCCGCACAAGCGGUGGAGUAUGUGGUUUAAUUCGAUGCAACGCGAAGAACCUUACCAGGGUUUGACAUCCUGCGAAUCUCUUGGAAACGAGAGAGUGCCUUCGGGAGCGCAGUGACAGGUGGUGCAUGGCUGUCGUCAGCUCGUGUCGUGAGAUGUUGGGUUAAGUCCCGCAACGAGCGCAACCCACGUCUUUAGUUGCCAGCAUUUAGUUGGGCACUCUAGAGAGACCGCCGGUGAUAAACCGGAGGAAGGUGUGGAUGACGUCAAGUCAUCAUGCCCCUUACAUCCUGGGCUACACACGUACUACAAUGCUACGGACAAAGGGCAGCAAGUUCGCGAGGACAAGCAAAUCCCAUAAACCGUGGCUCAGUUCAGAUCGUAGGCUGCAACUCGCCUACGUGAAGGAGGAAUCGCUAGUAAUCGCAGGUCAGCAUACUGCGGUGAAUACGUUCCCGGGCCUUGUACACACCGCCCGUCACACCAUGGAAGUUGGCCACGCCCGAAGCCGUUACUCCAACCCUUGUGGAGGAGGACGUCGAAGGUGGGGCUGAUGACUGGGGUGAAGUCGUAACAAGGUAGCCGUACCGGAAGGUGCGGCUG
rnacentral:rRNA from 1 species